GACGGAGGGGGCUAGCGUUGUUCGGAAUGACUGGGCGUAAAGGGCGCGUAGGCGGCUUUUUAAGUGAGGCGUGAAAGCCCUGGGCUUAACCCAGGAGGUGCGUUUCAUACUGAAGAGCUUGAGUACGAGAGAGGAAAGUGGAAUUCCUAGUGUAGAGGUGAAAUUCGUAGAUAUUAGGAAGAACACCAGUGGCGAAGGCGGCUUUCUGGCUCGUAACUGACGCUGAGGCGCGAAAGCGUGGGGAGCAAACAGG
rnacentral:rRNA from 1 species